GGGGGGAUGGAGGGGUUAAGUAUUAGGUAUAGAGGUGAGGGAUGGAGGGGUUAAGUAUUAGGUAUAGAGGUGGGGGAUGGAGGGGUUAAGUAUUAGGUAUAGAGGUGGGGGAUGGAGGGGUUAAGUAUUAGGUAUAGAGGUGGGGGAUGGAGGGGUUAAGUAUUAGGUAGGUAGGACAUGGCAGUAACACAUUACCUCGGUUCCUCCGGCCCCAG